AAAUAGAAGUAUAAAAAUAAAAGAAAAAAAGAAACAAAAUAAAAUAGAAAAAAGAAGGACAAAACAAAAAUAGAAAACGAAAAAAAAGAUAUGAGAAAAAAAAAGAAAACUAAAAAGAAAAAAAAGAGAAAUAGAAGAGAGAAAAUAAAGUGGAAAGAAAAAAUGAAAAAGAAAAAUAAAUCAAAAUAAAAAAAUAAAAUGAUAAAAGAUAAGAUGAAAAAAAACUAAUAAGAAAAAAAAG
rnacentral:lncRNA from 1 species